rnacentral:lncRNA from 1 species
CAGUACUGGGAGUCGAACUCAGAACCUUGCACUUGCCAGGCAGGUGCCAUCGAGCUACAUCCCUGGCCUUUUUUUUUUUAAAUGCAAGACAGCUGUGAUUUAAGUGGUAGAGAAACUGACUCAGAAGCCAAAGAAACGCUAGGGUGGUCUCAUUUGCAGAUGCAAAGUGAAAGAUUGCGGCAGAAAGUCUGAGCCGGAAGAGACAUCAAAAAGUGCGUGGUCCUCUCCUCUGGGGGUCAGGAGUUUGAGUGAGAGCAGGCAGGCGGUUUCUAGGACAAACACUCAUCUCCAUCCAUUUUAGCUGUCUGGGUGGGGGUCUCCUUUAGGUAUGGAAAGAUGGAAGUGUGCAUUGGAGCAGAGUGAGGAGGAAGUUUUCGUGAUGGUCCGGCAGUGCUGAGCUCUGGCCCCAUGGUGAGCAGCAGUCCCCCACUCCCCUGAUCCCGGCUGGACCGACAAGAGUGUGAGUCUCCGUGCUUCCUGCCAUGCCCUGCAGGCCUCUGCCCAGCAGCCCCUUUGAGGGGGUUAUGCUUCCUGCCUCUAGCUCUUCUGCUCCUCCCCUCUCCCCUGAGGAUGGUACAGCCCUGGUGAGGCUGCCCCUGAGAUCUGACGACCUGGGGAGCAGUGCCAUGGUGCCCACGAACAUCACCAUGGGACCCAGACGAGAAACAAACUUUCACUGCUGUUAAGCCCUGAAGAUUUUGGGCUGUUCUCGACCACAUCCGCUGUGAAUCAUGCAAUACACAGCUACUAUUUCUCUCCCCUUUAUCACUAUUGGAAAAGCCCAUUUCUCCCAAUAAAGAAUGAAGAAACCACAGGUACUCACUUUCUAAGCCUCCUUUACAGCUAAAGCUGUUCUACUUGUCUUGAGAAAUGACAGGUACUCCUUGCCUGUACCUUCUUGGUAUACUUCCAGGAAAAAGAUUUUCCUCUAGUACCAAAAUAGAAGCUUAGCCUGGUGGCACAUGCCUGCAAUCCCAG